rnacentral:rRNA from 1 species
AUGAUUUGCUUGGCCUGGAACUGUCGAGGACUAGGGUUGGACUCGACAGUUGGCGAACCACGGGACCUCAUACGGUCACACAACCCAGUGGUGGUUUUUCUGUCGGAAACAAAGAAGAAUGCCAAGGCAAUGGAUAGACUGAAGUGGAGCCUUGGGUUCCGGAAUGGUGUGGCAGUGGAUUGCAAUGGGAGAAGUGGGGGCUUGCACUAUGGUGGAGAGAGCACAUUCAGGUCACAGUUAGGCCAUGGUGCCAGUAUUUUAUUGAUGCAAUGA